UCAAAUGUAUAUGCUGUGCAGCAGCAAUAAUUUGAAGUCGUUGUAAUUCAACUUUUUGUUCUUUUAAUUUUAAAAGUUUUUUUUGAACUUCUAAUUCACUUUGUCGUAUUGCCAUUUUUUCUUUAUGUCUUUUUUCUUUAUUUUUCUCCGCAAGAGCAAAAUGUUUUGCCAAUUCAUCAAGAAAUUUGUCAAAGAGUGCCGUCAGAGUUUCUUUCUGAUCCACUGCUUCAUUUUUGUUACUUGUAGAAGAAUUCGUUGGCGAUGCCGCAAGAGGAUCUUCUUGUUGCUGAUUGACAACAAUGUUGCUCGAUUCUUCGUUCACUUGUUUUGAACACGCCAUUUGUUCUCGCAUUUCUGAGGACUGAAGUAAAAUCCAUGUUUUUGCAUCUCAAGAGAGAUCAUUUCAAACAUCUCACGUAAACUUCGAAUUUGAGUCGAUUGCCCUACCAUCGAAUGAUAUUUUUUAUAUUGAUUAAUAAGACAUGCAGUAGCCUUACUGGUCCACAAAUUUAAAGCACCAACAUCAGCACUAGAAGGAAUUGCGUUGUUACUUUCAAAACCGGGAAAACUGUUUUCGUGUUCUUCUUCAAUAUAUCCUUGUACUGGUGGUUCCACUUUGAUUUCCAUUUGUGCGUCGAGGGUUUCUCCUUUUAUAAGAAUAUAUUUACACGUCAAAGUGAUUUAAGCAUGUUUUAAAUAAGCAGAAAACAAUAAUUGAAAAGGAAAAAACAAGCAUCUAAAACGUGUCUACGGUUGACUUUCGAAAUAUACGAUAUGAGCGCCAGGCAUUCGAAACAGCAUAGAAUCAACAAUGAAUACAGGGCAAUAAUAGGACCUAACCUUGUUUGAAAACUAGUUUCUUACCUUUCUGUUCUGUAAUAUCGGCCAUAUUAGCACACAGUCGUAACGUAA
rnacentral:lncRNA from 1 species